rnacentral:ncRNA from 1 species
UUCUGGGAGGAUUAAUAGAUUGAGAGCACUUUGUUGAUUCGGUGGACGGUGGUGCAUGUCCGUUCUUAGUUGGUGGAGCGAUUUGUCGUGUAAAAAGCGAUAACAAACAAGACUCUAUCCUAUUAAAUAGGUACGUGCUUCUCUGCACCUUGCACCCUUAGAGGGACAAGCAGCUCCUAGCCGCACGAAAAAGACCGAAAACAGGUCUGUGAUGUCCUUACAU